CCUCCCCUUCCCCUCCCUCUCCUACCAUUUCCCUCUCUCUUUCUCUCUCCCUUCACGACCGAGGAGGAUCCGCGAUGACGAGCGAGAGAGAGAGAGAGAGAGAGAGAGGGAGAGAUUACGAGUACGACGGAGAAACCUUCCUUCAGGGACGACGAGCUUACUAUUACUCUCCUUACGAGUAUUGUCCCCUCUCUCUCUCUUUCUCUCUCUCUCUCUCUCUCUCUCUCUCUCUCUUUUUCUCUUUUGAAAUUCAUUUGCUUUAAUCGUUGUAAUCGACUCAUUUUAUACCUUACUCUAGAACACGUUCGUGGCUCCUCUAACCGUGGCCUUGCACCCUUCCUUCCCUCCUUCCUUCCUUCCUUCCUUCCUUCCUUUAAGAAACUAGAAAAACAGAGACGAUCAUCGCGACGUAAUAAUCGGAGACACCCCGAGGCUAUUCCGAGCGAGAAUCCUCGCGAUUAACGAUCGAGAUCGCUUUGUACGCCGGUCUAUUUUUAUACGAGUCCCAGAGCUAUUUUUGGCGGUAAAUUUGAAGCCAGAGGAAGACGAUCGUAAUCCGCUUUAUUUAUCCUGGGCCCGUAAAAGCCAAGGACAAACGUCCGUCUCUCUCGUAUCGUCGUACUUACGUACUCCUCCUCCGCGUUCCGCGUACUUCGAACUUCCUUUUUUUUUCUCUUUCUUUUCUUUUUCUUUUUUUCUAUCUUUUUUUCUUUCGUUUCUUUUUUUUUUUUUGUUCGAGGACGAUCAGGGUUUAUAUCCAUUAGAUAGGCGUAAUCUUCCUACGUCAUCCGUCCGUCCUUUUUCCUUAUCGAAAGAGCAAAACUUUUGUCUCGGACUUUGUUCCCAAAUCGUACGAUCGUUUUCGCGAUCGCGUUCGAUGAAUAUCGAAAGAGGACAAGAACUUUUUUGCGACUACGAUCGUCUUCCUUGGAAACUUUCUCUCGCUUUUCUAUCAUUUCUCUCUUCUUACUCUUACUUGUUUUACCAAGCCUGUAAUCAUCGUAAUCUGUCCGUCCAUAUAAAUUUGCUAUAAAAAAGAAAAAAAAAAUAUAUAUAUAGACAGAGAGAGAGAGAGAGAGAGGAGAAACGAAACGAAACGAAACGAAACGUUCUUUCUUACUCCGUGUCUCUCCGUUAGUUGGCCAGCUCGCAAUAACGAGUCAUUACCUAUUUAUGAAUGGGUGUGUACUAUAAGCGCCGAGCAAAUUAGCGUAAUUUCGUUGUAACGCUAUAAAACAUCGCGAGAAACACGAGCGUUAUUUCCAAAGAAUUAAUAGAUCGUUACUCGGAAGAGUUAUCGUCGUUCGCGCUCGGCUUCUCCUUUCUUGCGUUCCAUAUACACAUACGGAUAUGUACAUACGUACAUAGGUAGAUAGAUACUUGGCUAUUCGCGUAAAUACGUCGCGUUUCUUUCAUUAUACGAGUAUAUAUCUAUCCAGCGAGACAGGAAGAAAUUAAAAUUCAUUCGAAGGAUGAUCGUCCAACGACGAUUUCAAAUAGCUUCGUUCCGUCUCUAUUCAUUCCCAGCGCAUCUUCCGUAAAUGUUACAUCGUAGAAUUCGUAGAAGGUGCGUAGAUGGUAUACGGCCAUUAACCGUUCGCGUAUUCGCGAGAGUGGAUAUGCGAGUCGUAUUCGUUGAAUUCCAAUUUCAACCUUCCUCGUUCCACAUACCACACGCUUUGCUUAAACUUAUACUCCUUGUCUCUCUCUGUCUCUCUCUGUCUCUCUCUCUCUGAAUGGGCACGCUCUUGCCUCUCCGUGUGCUACUACGCGAGUAGUAGGGACACUUGAAUGGGAUCACGAUCGUAGAAAGAUCGCGACUGGCUCUACCACCACCCGACUUUGGAAGUAAGGAUCGUUGUCUCUUCGAUAAUAAGAAAUUCCUUUGGAGACGAAGGAGUAGUUGGUUGGUUCGUACUUGAAAAAUGAGAACGAUUACCGAGACGCGCGACCAGCUGCAAAGAGCACACGAGUGUAUCCUUAGGAAAAACUCGCAAGACCGUCUCGGAGGAGUCGACGAUUCCCUCGGCGACUUCCGGUAUCCACGACGAGUAAAAGACGAGGCUGCGCGCUUUGAAAGAGGAACAAGGAUCGCUAACAAGUACUCGGAGUGGUACUUUGCGCGUAGUAGUAGUGUAGUAGUAAUGUAGUAGAACGCGCACAUCUAUACAUACGCACACAUAUAUAUAUAUAUUCAACAUAAGACGCCUAUAGGUUUCUCGUAUUGCGCACGGCUGCCAUGUGACGCGCGCGCUCCGAGUGUGUGCUAUAGCGUGCGGCUGUGAGUGCCUGGCUUCGUCCAUACGUACGUAUGUUUGUUCGUUCGUUCGUUCGUUCGUUCGUUCCUUCGUUCAGGCCGGCUUGCAAGCCGCAGAGAAAGAGAAAGAGAAAGAGAAAGAGAAAGAAAAAGAAAGAGAGAGAAAAAAGAGGAGACGGGAAACGAAAGGUGCUGGCAGCGGUGGUGGGGGUCUUUCUUGGAAUGUCCCGCUGUCUCGGCCGAACGACGGUCCGGCUCCUCCGGAACUCCAACGCGCUGCUGGAACAGCCAUCGGGUUCUUUUAGGGCCGACCGGUUGUCUCUCCCUCUUCCUCUCCGACACCCCACCACGAAUCGGGCUGCGCCGCCGAGAGAGGAGCUCGCACACGUUUACCCCAGGCUUCUCUUACCUGCUUCGUUUGGAAACAGGGUGGAGGAGGAGAUGGUGGAGAGGAGAGGAGAGGAGAGAAGAGAUGGGGUGAGGAGAGGAGAGGAGAGAGGCGAGGAAAGGAGCGAAGAAGAGAAAGAGGAAGGGGAGAGCACACCAGCCAACAGAUCUUUCCUUCUCUCCGUUCGCUUCGUCACGACUCUUACGUUCGCCUUUCAGACCCGUUCUCCGACAUCGUUCUCCGACCCCCUCCCCUCCCUCGGCUGACUCAACGAAGGACGUUCCCUCGAAUUUUAGGACCUUCCUCCCUUCCCUUCCUCCCUCCUUCCUUCCUUCCUUCCUUCCUUCCUCUCGUGUUUACGAAUAGGAUUUCCCGAAUAAACGUUCGGUAGUGCGCUAACCUCCCAAAGGUUAGUACCCUUUCGUUAAGUUUCCCUUUGCACGUCGAAAGAGAGCAUUCGUAUUUUAUUUUAAACUGACACCGAUCGAUCGAUCCUUCAUCGAUAUUUCGUCGAUCACUUUUCCAAGCAUUCUUUAUCUCGCGAAUCUCGUAUUUCUCGAUCGGCACGGAUAAACCGUUCGCGAUAUCUCUUUUGUCGAACGUUUAGUCGUCGCCUCGCGAUUGAACAUCUCGCGUAUGCACUCGGUGUAUACGGCCCUGUCCCGCCGCCCUGACGAUCAACGAGGCCUUCCGCCUGCUUCCCCCACCCCUCGGCACGCGGCUUCUCCACAUCAGCGUGCUCCGUAUCUCGUACUAUUCUCCGCUACGUCCCUCUAACCCCACUUCCUUUCUCUCUCUCUCGUACUUUUGGAUCGGUAGGAGUCUCUCCUUCUCCUUCUCUUUCUCCUCCUCAUUUUUCCCGCUCCCAAGCUCGUUCUACCUCCGUCCUUAUCCGUAUCUCGGCACUUCUCGCGUCCUUUACCGCCUAUCUCUUGGUUACAUAUAUAGACAGACGGAUUUGCACGGCGCCGUGUCGUCGAACGCUCCUGUAUCUCGAAGGAGACACGUCACCGCUUCGGGUCGGUUCGACACAUACGGAAAGAGAGAGAGAGAGAGUAUGUGCGUGUGCGCGUGCGCGCGUGCUAACGCUAUCAAUAAUGCAUAUUGUAUAUAUUUCUUUUUGUCUUUUCGAACAACAAAGUCACGUAGAAAGCGAGGAAUUUAAAUUCGCGGUCAUUGCAUUAACUACUUCAACUUCUUCUUCUCUUUUUACCACUUCUACUUCUAUUUCUAUUUCUACUUCUUUCUCUCCCCCCCCCUCUCUCUCUGUCUCUGUCUCUGUCCGUCUGUCUCUUUCUCUCUCUCUCCAUUUUCGAAAGUUCGACGCGAUUUUUUCCGUCUCUUUUUUUUCUUUUCAGCUAUCGCCAAGUUCAUUUCGAAGCGCGUUAAGAUCGUACGAUCUAAAGAAAGGGAGAAGGAGGAGAGGCAACGUUCUCGAUAACUCCGAUAUUAAUUCCGCGCUUCUCGACUUUAUCGUCGAGCAAAAUCGUUACGACGACGACGACGAAGACGACGAAGACGACUUCUCGGUGUUAUUUAACGCGAAAGUUUCGCAAUCCUGCGAGUCGCUUCGUCGACUAGAUCGACAACAUCGUGCCGAGUUCCAGUCAUUCGAAAAGAUGGAGGAAGGAAAAGAUCGAGAUGAUCAAUAGGCUCGUCGUAAUCGUCGUAAUCGUCGUAAUCGUCGUCGUCGUCGUUGUCGUCGUAUCACGGGACCGUGACAGCUGUACGAUGGAGUCCCUGAGAACUCGAGGAAAGUGGAAACGUAAUUCCGACAUAACUUUCUCGGAAUGCUUUUAUUAAAACUGUAAAAGCUUGGAAUUCGACGCUGUAAAAGUCGACUGGUUUAGUUGCGAUAGAAACAGAGAAAUUUUCUUUUCUCCAUCUGCUUAUGUAAAGAGGAAUGAAUAGUAGCGUUUGAGGAGAGAGAGAGGGGGUAGCAGGAGGGAGGGGAAGAAAGGAGAUAGAUAAAGAUGGAAACAUCGAAACUCGUUGGUAAUAACGAAGCCGAUGAUCGUACCUGCGCUGACCAUGUCGACAAAUCCAAGGAAAGGUGUAAGAAGGGCCAAGUCUCUCGGUAGAAGAGAUGCAUGAGGAGGCAACGCGUUGCAAGCAGGUACGUAGUACGUCGACGUAGAGAAAGAAAGAGAGGGGGAAAGAGAGAGAGAGAGAGAGAGAGAGAGAGACAGACAGAAGGUUCCUAUCGUGUAACCGCGUGCCACGAGGAGCGAGCACCUGUUGGCUGCUCGUGUACAGCUUUUACAGGGAAUUCCUUGGUCUCUCUGUGCUCGCGCGCACCAUCGGACUUUCGACCAAGAAACGAAACGUGUUCUUUGCUUCGCCUUGGAACGGAUAUUUCAUUGCAUUCGACGUGACACAUGUAGGUAGAUAAAAGAUUCCGGGUGUCUUGUAUUCUGGCACGACAAAAGCACACGAACGUCUUUGGGAAAGUAUCCUUAGAACCCUUUUUAUCCGGCUAUUACGUUUCUGCAGGUAGAAGCUCCGCUAGCCUUUCAAAAUGGCAACGAGCCCUGCGAAAUGGUGUAUCUGUGGUGGAAAGACAAAAAAAUGGAGCACCGCUCCAAAUUUGUAAGUCCACAGCUUCCGGCCGUACGUACAUAAGACGACAACGACGAAGAGUGGCCGAAGAAGAGGAGAUCGACGAAGAGGAUGAACACCGCCAGAGCUUCCCAAAAUAAGGCUCGUGAGAAUCAGGGAAUUCCACUCCCACGUUUCUACGGUAGAACGCUAUGUGUCGAGAUGGAACGCGAUGCCGUGGAACUCUGCCAAAGUGACGUCAAAAUUGCCUUGAGUGCACUUCUUCAUCGCUUAUCCCUCUUUCUCUCUAUUUCUCCCUAUUCCUUCUUCACCCAACCACCCCCACACAUCUCACCCCUUCCCACCUUUCGAUCUCUACGCGUUUUCCUUUUCAUUUUAUUCCAUUUGUUUCUUUUUUCUUUCUUUCUCUUUCUCUUUCUCUUUCUUUCUUUCUUUCCUUCUUUCGUGAAUUUUAUUACUUUUAUUUUUCUUCUCUUUUUUUUUUAUUUAUUUAUUUUUCUUUUUUUUUUACUUUUUCCCUUUGUAUCCUCUUUUUAAAUCUUCUUUCAUUCUUCCCCAAUUUUUGUUUUCGGAAAUAGAAAUAUGGAUUUCGUUAUAUAGACGUAUUGGACAUUUAGAAAAAACGAUGUAGCUUAAUUAACUUAUUAAAGAAGGCUUUCAUUCAUUCCUUCGUUUAUACGUCGAACCUCUUGAAAAGAAAACUUUAAGGAUUGUAUUAUACCUAUAUAAAAUAUGACAAAUAAGAUUUUCAAUAAUCCGUCCUCGCGAGUUCAUCCGUUUGGACGAGAAAGAAAUUCGUUGAUUUAUUUUGACAUUUCGAUACGUGAAAUUCGAGUUUGUAGAUUCGGAGGAGAGAAAAAAGAAGAGAAAAAUAAAGAAAUGAAAAGAAGAAAAAGAGGGAGAGAAAAAAAAGGUAGAAUCUGGUGCUUAACGUGCUUGAUGUCAUGCAUUACUCAUUAAAAGAAGGCAUUGGAACAGGUCCGCCGGAGAUGUGCAUUACUCACUAAUGUCAUAAAUGCAAAGUAGAGACGGUCUUCCACGCACGGACACGUGUUUCCUUCUUGUUAUUCCUGGCACUUCGGAGAACACUCGAGAACCGUGAUGUCCUGACGUAUCUUUUUUCUUCUUUUCUCUGUCUCUCUCUCUCUCCCACCUCCCUCGAUCCCUCUUCUUUCUUCUCGAACACGUCACGGAUGGCCGAAGCUUCGCUCUCGAGUUGCCUCUUCGUAUCGAUCGCUAUCGCUAUUGGUGUGAGUUCUGUCGUGGGUGGAAGGAUCGAAGUAACGGUCGUAAUAAAUCGGUUCGUUAACACAGCAAAGUCCUUUGGAAUGCCCAAGAGAUUCUCUUUCUCUCUUAUUGCCAACAACGAUUUGUUAAGAAAAACGAUCCUAUUAAUAUUUCCUAAGUGUUUAAUUCACUUUUUAUCCUUUUCUUUUUCCUUCUUCGCUUUUUUGUCGUGUUGUUGUUGUUGUUGUUGUCGUUUCUUCUUGCUUUUUUUCUUUUCUUUCUUCUUCGUUGUUUUCGUUUUUCUUUCGAUGCAUUUUAUCGUUUGGGAACGUACACUUGUCGGAUGCAAUUUAUGUAGUCGUCGGUUUUCCUGCUUAUUUAUUAUUUUUCUUUUCUUUUUCCUUUUCUUUUGAUAUAUAGAUCGCGAAUAGGAAAGAGAACCGUUCAGGUUUCUUGCAAAAUCGUUGAUCGUUGAAACUUAUGUAGGUCUUUCGUGAUUACCUCGAACGAUCUCAGUGUCGUAAUAACGUAAGUACGGGUAAGUAGUUACUUCCGUCUAUCGUACGCAAAUAUCGUAUGGGGCGGUAUAGUACAAAGGACUUGGUAAGAGCACCACCGAGUCGAAGAAGAGAUCGUUCUAGGAAAUUCUCUUCUUCCUCGUAUCGACCCGUUAUUCGAUCCAGCUUUUACGAAUUCUCUGGUAUCCGAUAUCCAUCUUCCUGGAUUUGGUCUUUGACGAAGAGCUUGGUAAUGGCACGUCGAAUUUUUUUUAGACAAAGAGACAAGAUUAUAGACGGAAAAGAUUAUAGUCGUAGGAAUCGUGUAUGUGUGUGUCUCUAUGUAUAAAUGUAUAUAUAUAUAUAUAUGUAUGUAUGUAUGUAUGUAUAAAAAUAAAAGAAAAAAAAAAAGGCGUCGUCGAUGAUAAAUUAUCCUGUAAGGCGAGGAAUCUAAUAGCAUCGAGGGAAUUUCUUGUUAACCAGGAACACCAUAUGAUAUUGAUAGUAGUGAAUCACCGUCGAGCGCUCUUCGUUUCGUUUACAUCGUAUCUCAUUAAGAACGUAGUAGUAGUGUGUCUUACGAAAUUAUGUUUACCACUUAUCGAUGAUGAAAUCCUCUUUUUUUAUUCUAUAUUCUAGUUGCAUUUGCGCGACACGUUUUUCUCGAAUAACUACGUCGUAAUAGGCGUUAAUAUAUUUCUACGCAUCGACAAAGGAAUCUCUGUGAUUCCUCCAUCAUCUUUCGUAUUCGUUCGUGAUCGAAUAAUAAAUAAAUAAAUCAGUGAUUUGAGUUUGUGCAUUAUUGUCGUAUUCUAUUUUCGUAUAAGGAUACGUUGAUGCUGGAAAUCGAAGGAGCAUGAGAGAAAGAGAGAGAGAAAAAGAUGCUCCUCGCUAUAUAUCCUUAGGCGGUGAAUCACGUGAAGAUUCAAGCGGAGCUCCUUGCAGGUUGGAAGGAAAAGGAAAAAGAAAAAUCUCGCUCGCAACGGAUUCUAAUGACCUCACCGUGCAGAAACGGCCGGUUCUACGUGUGCCUUUCCAAGAAAAGAUACGUCAUCUACGAGAAAGUGUGAAUCCUGCUAAAUACCGCGUCGUCGCUUGCAAAUAUCUAACAAAGUUAUCUAUAUACGUACGUAUAUGUAUCUAAUUGCAAGUAAGUACUCGUGUACUUGCCAUUCCCGUCAUCCCGUCCACUCUAUUAUUUUCAAAGAUGUUUCCUAUCGUCAUAAAUAGACGUCGAAACGUAAUCGACUAUUUAUUAGAUAUUUUAUCCGUAUGUGCGCGCGCGUAUGUAUUUUGUCUUUUAUAAUUAAUACAACGAGCAUAUCCAUCGAUUGACGUAAAUCGCGAACGACAUCGAUUUCUUAAUUGGUAAUUAAGAACUAACGCGACGAAACGACGCGUGAAAAUGAUUUAUUCCACAAGUUAGACCACCGAUCGCAACAUAAUCGCUUAACUCUGGCUUCGACUUCGAUCAAAACUAAUCGACGUCAAAGUCGAUCGUUCCAAAUCGUAGGUGGUUUAUAUUCGUGGUACAUAAAUUGUAAUAAACGUCUUUGGAUUUUUGGCAGAACGACAAACACGCGAUAGCCGAGUUUUCAUUUCCGCGAAAUCGUAAAACGUUUUCGUACCAACACAAUUUCGAUGAUUUGAUCGAAAUAUGGAAGAUCGAGAGAGGUCUUCGAUGUUUCUGUGUUUUCAAUUGUACAUAGAAUAUAUUGUUGUAUUUAUAGCGCCAGGUGGAAGAGCUUAUUACAUAUAUAUUUCUUUUUCUUUCUUUUCUUUUUCGAACAAAAUGAUUGAUUUAUAAUAUACUGAGAGAAUGAUAUACAAGAGAAAGAGAGAGAGAGAGAGAGAGAGAGAGCUUACAGAAGCAUGUAACUAUCUCCUAUGAAUUACAUAGAAAAGAUUAAUAGGUUUCAUUCCAUCGUUAUAUAUAAUUACAGCUUGGCCAGUUAGUUGAAGAAGGAUCAGUGCCGAGGGAUAUGAUAAAUAUUUUCUACGAAUCGUUUCUCCGACAGAUGCAACAGUGACUAAGUCACUGAAAAUAAUUUCUAACGGAGCACCGACUGCGUAGUUAGAAAGCAGCCGAAUAUGGCGGACUAAUUUUUGUACGAAUGAAACGCGACAUGCAAGCACGAAUCCAAGAAACCUGCAUACGCACAGAUGUAUUUGUUUCCGGAGAUAGAGCUCUUCCAAGAAACGUCAUGCUCUUUCAAUCUCUCUCUCUCUCUCUCUGUCUCUCUGUUUCUUUUUGUCUCUCUCUGUCUCUCUUUUUCUCUCUCUUUUUUUUUUCGAAGGAAGGUGUGGAUUCUCGUAGAUAUAAAUCGUCGAUGACUCUUCUCAGAAUUUUAACCACAAUUUCUAGAAAGUGUUCCUAUUUUAAAAUAUCGCGAACGAUCUUACGCUUGCGAUUUUUAUCUUAUACACAUAUAUUUUAUUAUUUUUUGAAUUGUUUGACACGUUUCUCGAAAGCAAAAACGAAUGGACAAAUCCGACUGAAAGAAGACAUCCAUCUUUUCGCUUGUAAUUCUACUAAUCUUCUAGUAAAUAUCUAAUCGUCUCGGUGCCAAACGUGUACCUCGCCAAGAGCGUUACUUGGCAUAAAUUUAUUCCGUUUAAACGUUACGACCAUUACGGCGUACUCGAACGAACGUUCAUAAUGAAUGGUAGACUACAAGCAAUAUAUAAUAAAUUUGCAUUUUUAUCAAAAGGAAAAAAAAAAAGAAAAGAAAAGAAAGAAAAAAUUACGAGAAUCAUUGUCGAGAUAUUUUGUUCGAAAGAAAGAAAAAUUAUGCUAUUUAAAUAAAUUUCGAUUCGUUCGCGAAUACGCGAAUUCAUUACCAGUAUUCGAUUUUUCUGUCUUCUCAGAGGCAAUAAAAUUCAAAGAGUUAAACGAGUUUUCCGAUAUCAAUACGUACCAUCGACAUUUGCGAGAGUGUGUUAGAGAAAGGGAUACCAUAUUCGUUCCGGAUGGUUUUGUUCGGGAGGAAAACUUUCCGAGUAGAGAUACUUGCCUACUUACUCACUUCUAAAAGACUUUGUACCGAAAAGGAAAGUAUUCCGAAUCAGGAAAGACAAAAUUUCUAGUCGGGAGAAUUCGACAAAUAAUAAUUCGUUAAUUUUGUCACCUUGUACAUAAGUUUAUUCGACGCAUUAUAAUUUCGAAGAAUAGUUUAUCGAGAAGAAGAACACGAUAUAAUCGAUAAAUUUAUCAUUUCUUACGAAAUAGUUAAUUUCUCAAAGGGGAGCUUGAUUUUUCGAAAGAGAACGAACAGUAUCUUCUCUUCGAAUGAUCUUUCUCUUCGCGUAUUAGCCUCGUCGUUGUUAGAGUCUCCUCUUCGUUAGAUACUUAGCGAAUAGACUGAAAUCGAGUUUAGAAAAUUGGAUAAAAAAAGAUGGAGAGGGAGAAAGUUUCGAAAGGUUCACCUCCCCCAAGGUUUGACUUUCGUGUUCUCUUUUUACGUGACCCUUUUCGAAACUUUCCUUUCUAUCCUAGUUUUAUUUAUACGUUCUUUUUUUUUCAGAUUGUGUAAAAGUGUAAGAUUGCUAAAAGAAACACGUAAGAGUUUAUCUCGUUAGCCGUCCCUACGCCAUACAUCGAAUAUCGUUACAUUUAUCUUGGUGCGAAUUGAACGAAGAAAAAAGAACGAAAGAAAGAAAGGAAGGAAGAAAGAAAAAGAGAGAGAGAGAGAGAGAGAGAGAAACGCGUUCGUUGGCCUCAGGAUUUUGACACGAUAUCUCUUAUGGGGGCUACUCUCGCACACCGUGGGCGAAGUAAAUCCAGUUUGUUAGGAGGCUCCCUUCGCGACGCGAAUAAACGCUCGGAAUUCCUUUCGAUAGCGAGUUAUCGUUCCUAUCGAUCGUGCUGUCACGUUCGAGAUCAUUUCGGAACCGGAUACCAGUUCGUUUACAUCUCGCGUAUCACCGAGUAAUUUACUAUGGGGAUUAUAUUCUUCUCUUUUAUUCGAGAAGAGAGAGAGAGAGAGAGAGAGAGAGAGAUGGAGGGAGAGGGAGAGAGAGUAUCGUUCACUUCGCCGGUAAUUUCAUUUUACGAGGAAAAUAGAGAAGCUGGAGAAGAGAGAUAGAGAGAAAGAUAGAAAAGAGAGAGAGAGAGAGAGAGAGAGAAAAUGAAUGGUGAAAAAGAAAAUUGCUAAUAGAAGAAUCGAAUUUCGUCGAAAUUUAAUCGUCAGGAAAUUUUCCUGAAAAAAGUUUACGCAUAUAGAAAUAAAUUUUAAUUGUCAAAUCUUUUUUUCGACACGUCGAAGGUUUUUCCUACGUUUAUAACGAUUGGAUUUUACGGAUUAAAAACUUUUUACGUACAUCUUUUUUUUACGUAAAUUUGCGGUAAAUUCUGACGUACGUAUGUGGUGUAUGUACGUUCGCUCGCUCGCUCUUGCGUUUGCGUUGCUUCCACGUUCGUGAAUACAUGAAGACGUAGGAGAUAUCAGAUCGACGAUUAGUCGUCUACUUGCCUUUGUAAGACACGACGAUUUACAGUUAGAAUUUGCAGUUAUGCAGUAGGCCGACUUCAUCAAUCGACAAUCCUGCGUCUCGUAAACGUUUUCUAAGAGUUUUUCCAAAGAUCCGUCUGGUAUCGAUUCUAACAAACGAUUUAAGUAAAAAAAAUUGACAUUAGCAAUAUCGUGACGUUUAGAAUUCACGUUAAUGAUUUCCAUUCGCGAUUAGAUUUUCCUAAAAUUUCGAUAUUACCGAUGAUAGACGAACGAACAAGGAAAUUAUUUUCCUUUCUGCACGCGUCAACGUUCAUCUCUAUUCUAUAUUUUUUAUUAUCGAAUAAAUUGAUUAAUAGGAAAUAUGAUUAGCUAUCUGUCAUUGUAUCGACACUUUUCUUUUCCUUUCUUUUUUAUUUAUUUAUAUUUAUUCCUUAUCAAAUUCUCUUUCAUCGAUUAUAUUUCAAUAUUUCAUUAAUAUUUGUACGUCGAGUAUCGUCGAUACUAGAAAAAAAUAGAAAAAGAAGAAAAAAAAAAAGACAGGAAGACAAAAAAAUAAUUCGCAUGGAAAUCUCGAGGCUCGGCAUUCGAUCUGCGUCGUUUGUCUCGUUAAAACGCGGCUUUUUUUUACGUGAAAAAAAGAAAUGAAAAAAAACAGUAAAAAAGACACGAAUGCACAUGCACGAUGCAUUGCAUGGUUCGUUACGAUUUCGCUUAUUACGUUCGUUUUGUUUCUUUUUUUUGCGUUAACUCUGCGUUAAAAAAGUCGUGAGAAUAGAUAUUAAAUAUUGUUUAUUAAAAAACAACAUGUCGAGAUGUAAAUAAUAUUCCUCUUCGAUUUCUUUUGUAAUGUCUCAAUGCAUUUAGGUAUGUAACUAUAUAUAUGUAUAUACUAUAUAUUUCUACAUAUAUUGUAUGUAUGUAGAACAUAUCUACAUAUAUACGAUAUAUUAUAUAUGUACAUAUAUAUAUAUUUUUUGGAGAAACGAUCAAAAUAAAUCAUAAUAAUUCAUCCGCCGAACCGCGAAUGGCGCUGACUAAUCGCGCGUUUCUCGUGAAAGUUGCGUUUUUUUCUUAUUAUCGAACGUUUCUCUACAAGCCAUGCGCAACUCAUGAGAUCGCUAUGUCUUCGCAUAAUCGUGAUACAUUACGAUCGGGUACGUAACUAAGUAUUUACACACACCGUACAGAACGAACGAACACGCCUACAUAUUAGACUUCACGCGCGGGUUGUCGAUUAUUUUAUUUCUUUUUUUUUUCUCUCUUUUUUUUUCUCUUUAUUUUUUUAAAAGCUACGUCGUUAAUACGGAUCGUAUAAGUAAGACACACCUAGAGAUCAAUUGCAAACUGCUAUGAUUUAAAAUUUCUGUCUGUUCGAUUGAAUAGUUUAGAUCUAUUCGAUUUUUUGAUCGAGAUUUCUUUCUUUCUUUCUUUCUUCUUCAGUUUUUACCUUUUUUUUUUUUCUUUUUUCAUUAGCUUUCUACCCACGCGUUUACGAUACAUUUUUGAUGUAUAUGUAUAUAUAUAUAUGUGUGUGUAUAUACACAUAUAUAUCGUUAGUACACAUGUUUACGUAUUACAUGUAAUUCAUGUAAAUUGUCGUAUGACUCGACAAGUCUAUUAAUCGUUAUGACCAUGUCUUUCUUUGAUGAUCAAUUUCUGGGAAGUACCUGGCUAGUUGUUUGAUAAAAACAUCGUUUCAAGGCAAACAAUGUCCUUAACGGACAUCGAUGCAACUAUUAUAGACGGAACUAUUAUAUGCAUGUAUAUAAAUUUGAUUGAAAAGAUUGGCGAUGAGAGAAGGAAAUCUCGCACGUUAAAUCUAACGAGUAUAAUAAUAAUAAUAAUAAUAAUAAUAAUAAUAAUAAUAAUAAUAAUAAUAAUAAUAAUAGUAAUAAUACACGAGUAUGACAAUUAACAAUAAUUAUAGACGAGUUUAUUGAAAGGAUAUAGAAUAGCAAAUUUCUAACGAAACGUAAACGCCUAUCAAUCGAUGUUCAAUGAGAUUCGUAUUCUUUGUUCGUGAUUACGCAACAAUUCAGUUGCAGUCACCUUGUCUCGUUUGCUUAGCGAAAGCAAAAUCGUUAAUGUCGAUGGAAAUUACGUGGGUUUCUUGAAAAAAAAAAAAAAAGAAGAUAUUCUGUCGAGUCGUGUAUCGAAUUUUCUUCGUUUCUCCUUGAAAAAAGAAAAGAGAUAAUUACGAUCGAUUCGAGUGUGUCGUAGGUUUUUUUUCCGAUUUGAAAGAAAUAUGUAAACGUGUUUUUUUUUCUGCUCCUCUUUUUUUCUUUUCUUUUUUUCUUCUUCAGAAAGAAUUAAAAAAAAAAAAAAAAAACAAAAGGAGGAGAAAAAAAAACAGAGACAAAUAUUUACAGACUAAUCUUAGCUUAGAAAGGUUGCAAGGCAAGAUUCGAGCCAACUCGGAGGUAGGGAAUCGUCCUUUGUGCAUUCCAGGCAAGGUUGCUAUAGCGUGUACUUUCUUGCAGCAAUGUAACGUUCUAUGUAUGCGUGAACGUGUUUGCGAUAAAGCGAAUGCCAUCACGACGACCAGUCUCUAUGGUAUCGUGUUUGAUAUAAGGCGGCGACCGAGCGAGCCUCGAUUUAUAUUCAUUUGAUCGCAACUAGGUGUGUUGCCAGUUAGUUACACGGUUACCGACAAACUUGGUUCUUUUGGUUCUUGCCGUAUUGAAAAUUACCUUUCAAAGAAAUAAUCAUAAAGUUGCGGAUGGUUUCUUCGGUAAAGGAGGUUAGCCACCCCUUGGUGACGUGGUCUCAUCGAUUUCUUUCUUCCGUAUUUUCCACUCGUCGACUCGGCUUAGGGUGGCGAAAGGGGAACAAAAGAGAGAUAGAGAGAGAGAGAGAGAGAGAGAGACAAAGCGUAUAAAAAAUAGCUGACCAAUGGUAAAAGUUUUUACGACAAAUUUCACUCGUCGUAAUCAAUUAUUUUUAUUAUUGGACUCGAUCGGGGAUCGCAAGAAUUAUUAAAAGCAUGAUUUUAUUUUU